UACGUAGGGGGCCAGCGUUGCUCGGAAUUACUGGGCGUAAAGGGUUCGUAGGUGGUGCGGCAAGUUGGGAGUGAAAUCUCUGGGCUUAACUCAGAGGCUGCUUUCAAACUGACCGCGCUCGAGUGCGAGAGAGGUCAGUGGAAUUGCAGGUGUAGCGGUGAAAUGCGUCGAUAUCUGCAGGAACACCCGUGGCGAAGGCGGCUGACUGGAUCGCAACUGACACUGAGGAACGAAAGCUAGGGAGC
rnacentral:rRNA from 1 species